UGGGGAAUAUUGCGCAAUGGGGGAAACCCUGACGCAGCCAUGCCGCGUGUGUGAAGAAGGCCUUCGGGUUGUAAAGCACUUUCACUUGGGAGGAACAGUUCGUAGUUAAUACCUGCGAACCUUGACGUUACCUUGAGAAGAAGCACCGGCUAACUCCGUGCCAGCAGCCGCGGUAAUACGGAGGGUGCGAGCGUUAAUCGGAAUUACUGGGCGUAAAGCGCGCGUAGGCGGUUUGUUAAGUCGGAUGUGAAAGCCCCGGGCUCAACCUGGGAAUUGCAUCCGAUACUGGCCGACUGGAGUGCGAGAGAGGGAGGUAGAAUUCCACGUGUAGCGGUGAAAUGCGUAGAUAUGUGGAGGAAUACCGGUGGCGAAGGCGGCCUCCUGGCUCGACACUGACGCUGAGGUGCGAAAGCGUGGGGAGCAAACA
rnacentral:rRNA from 1 species